rnacentral:rRNA from 1 species
AAUAAAACGCUAGUUUGUGUUUUGAGUGGCAGCAACACCAUCAAAUUGUUCCGGAAGUCCGUUAGAGCUCAUGAGACCGCGGCGACCAGUAAUGGAUUCGUGCAGCAGCAGGUGUAAUGGCCUGUGGAUGGUAAAACUUCAUGAGAUUCGGUAACCGGCAGCCAAGUGACAAGAAAAAACAUAUUUUUUUUUCUUGCCAUGCAGUUCACAGACUAAAUGUUGGUGGGCGUUCUAUUCUUUUCUUUCUGAAAAAAUAGUUCGCUUAAGAUAUAGUCGGCCCACUAGUGAAAGCUAGUCCUUUGAGAGGAUUCGGAAAACUUGAACUCAAAACGAACACACCAAGUUUCUGAGGAGAGCUCAAAGGGGUCUUGCGAUAUUGGUAACUAACCAAUUGUUGCGAGGCUGGAUUCAGCGGAGAAAUGGCUACCACUUCUACGGAGGGCAGCAGGCGCGCAAAUUGCCCAAUGCCAAAACAAAUGAUGAGGCAGCGAAAAGAAAUAGGUGUCCCAAACGCCUCGUGCGUUUGGGACUUUCAAUGGGGGAUAUUCAAAACCAUCCAACAUCGAGUAACAUUGGAGGACAAGUCUGGUGCCAGCACCCGCGGUAAUUCCAGCUCCAAGAGCGUAUAUUAACGCUGUUGCUGUUAAAGGGUUCGUAGUUGAAUUGUGGAGUAUGGCCACGGGAUUCAGUCCUUUUCCCACGGUCUAGGAACGUCCCGACCAUACUUCGAGAACGUCAGAAACUAAGAUCACGGAAGCGUUUUUUACAAACUGCCACCGACUACGCGAGCAAUGUUCGCUGGUGGACGUCCGUGUUUCUUACUGUGACUAAAGAAGUGCGACCAAGGCAGUCCAUCGACAUGAAUUAGAAAGCAUGGGAUAACAAAGCAGCAGCCUAUGAGCUACCGCUUAGGCUUUUGUUGGUUUUAAAGGUUCGUGGGAGAUUACGGGCGUGUAGGACCGGCGUUGGGGGUUUUCCAAAAUCCCCGCGUCUCCUCCUGGCAUCGGAAACGGUGCUUGCGGGGCCUGCUUCGCUCAGGAAUGAAGGAGGGUUGCUCGGGGGAAAACGUACUUGGGCGUGAGAGGUGAAAUUCUUAGACCGCCCAAAGACGAACUACAGCGAAGGCAUUUUCCAAGGAUACCUUCCUCAAUCAAGAACCAAAGUGUGG